GAUGAACGCUGGCGGCGUGCCUAAUACAUGCAAGUCGAGCGAACAGACGAGGAGCUUGCGCCUCUGACGUUAGCGGCGGACGGGUGAGUAACACGUGGAUAACCUACCUAUAAGACUGGGAUAACUUCGGGAAACCGGAGCUAAUAACAGAUAAUAUAUUGAACCGCAUGGUUCAAUAGUGAAAGACGGUUUUGCUGUCACUUAUAGAUGGAUCCGCGCCGCAUUAGCUAGUUGGUAAGGUAACGGCUUACCAAGGCAACGAUGCGUAGCCGACCUGAGAGAGUGAUCGGCCACACGGGAACGGAGACACGGUCCAGACUCCUACGGGAGGAAGCGGGAGGAAAACUUGCGCAAGGGGCGAAAGCCUGACGGAGCAACGCCGCGGGAGUGAUGAAGGUCUUCGGAUCGUAAAACCCUGUUAUUAGGGAAGAACAAAUGUGUAAGUAACUAUGCACGUCUGGACGGUACCAAAUCAGAAAGCCACGGCUAACUACUU
rnacentral:rRNA from 1 species